AUAAGAGGUCCAGCCUGCCCCGUGACUAUUAACGUUUAACGGCCGCGGUAUUUUAACCGUGCAAAGGUAGCGCAAUCACUUGUCUUUUAAAUGAAGACCCGUAUGAAUGGCACCACGAGGGCUUAACUGUCUCCUUUUUCCUGUCAAUGAAAUUGAUCCCCCCGUGCAGAAGCGGGGAUAAAAACAUAAGACGAGAAGACCCUGUGGAACUUAUAGGCUUUAGCAGAUAUGUCAAGCAACCAGUAUUAGACCUGGACAAACAGAUUAACCCCUGCUCACACAUGCCUUUGGUUGGGGCGACCAUGGGGAAACAAAAAUCCCCCACGUGGACUAAGAGCACAGUAAUUAACCCUCUUACAACCCAGGAUUACCCUCCUAAGUAACAGAAUUUCUGACCUACAUAGGAUCCGGCACCAGACCGAUCAACGAAUCAAGCUACCCCAGGGAUAACAGCGCAAUCCUCUCCUAGAGCCCCUAUCGACGAGGGGGUUUACGACCUCGAUGUUGGAUCAGGACAUCCUAUUGGUGUAGCCGCUAUUAAGGGUUCGUUUGUUCAACGAUU
rnacentral:rRNA from 1 species